AUACGAAGGGUGCAAGCGUUAAUCGGAAUUACUGGGCGUAAAGCGCGCGUAGGUGGUUUUGUAAGUUGGAGGUGAAAGCCCCGGGCUCAACCUGGGAAUUGCCUCCAAAACUGCAUGACUAGAGUACGGUAGAGGGUAGUGGAAUUUCCUGUGUAGCGGUGAAAUGCGUAGAUAUAGGAAGGAACACCAGUGGCGAAGGCGACUACCUGGACUGAUACUGCCACUGAGGUGCGAAAGCGUGGGGAGCAAACAGGAUUAGAUCCCCUGGUAGUCCACGCCGUAAACGAUGUCAACUAGCCGUUGGGAUCCUUGAGAUCUUAGUGGCGCAGCUAACGCAUUAAGUUGACGCCUGGGGAGUACGGCCGCAAGGUUAAAACUCAAAUGAAUCGACGGGG
rnacentral:rRNA from 1 species